UUGAUGUGAUUUGAUGCGAGUGUUUGAUUUUCUGCAGUGAUUUAGACAGGGAUUAGUAUUUAUUUGAGAUCCGAAAAGGUUUGGUUUGAUUUCUUUCUAUUUCGAGCUUAAAUUGGGGGGUUUUAUUUGCCUUUUAUUUCUUCCGGAGGUUCUUUUGGAAUGAUAUCUUGGGUUAAACAUGCAAGGAGGGGGAAUCAGAUGCCUGAUUUUGGAUUUUUUUUUUUUAAUUUGAUUCUAAAAGCUUUUUGAUUUCUGGGUUUUUAUAGAAGUAGCAUCAGGAAAUACGGAGUUGUUGUAGGGUAAUACUUGAAUUGGAUUCCCUUCUAAAUGGUGCUCUGGUGUUGGAAGUUGAUCAUCCAGAGAUUGAAAGAAAUAUUGGUGAACGAAUAUUGGGGUUUAUCCAAGUAAGUCUAGGAGUUCCAUUUGGAGUCUUACUAAAGCUCAGCUGUUUAAUGUGUGGUCAAACUGACAUAUUCAUGGAGCUGUGAUUAGCUUUUCAAUGGAUUGGCGGUGUAUCUAAUUUUCGAAGACAGCGGAUUGAUCCUGGAAGAAUUUCCAUGGUAUUUGUUUAAUGUAAAGAAUGGCAUCAUGCAGAAGAAGUUUGUCUACAGUGCAGCGAGAUGGAGCUUUGCAAAAUGGAGAAGCUUGUGUUGAUAGCUCUCCCUCACCCAAGUUGUCUCAUUCUCCAGCGUACUUGGCUUUGAGAGGGUUUCUGAAUUCAUUGUUGAACUCUAUUAGUUUUCUUAUGGCAUCGAAUAGGAUUCAAGCUGCUUUUGCCGGUAUGCUGGCACGAAGGUCUUCUCGGCCUUUGGAGAGGUCAAAGUCGAAGGGAUUCCACUGGAAGCGAGCCUCCUUCCAUAUCUUUGUCUUUUUUAUGGCAGGGGUUUUCCUUGGUUUCACCCCAUUUCUCUCUGUUGAUAUCUCCAGGAAUUUUGUGUCCAAACAUAGGGCCUUUUCCUUUAAGGAGGAUUCAGCAGCUGAAACUGUUGCUCACCAGAAAAUUGAUUCAGUAAGGGAAGAAAUUCUAUUGAUUGAUAAACCACACAAGGAAAACUAUGCUGUGGCAAAAUGGUCUGUGAAAAAUGAGUCUCUUGAUACCACAUCUGCUGUACCUCCUGUUUCAGAUACAGACUUAGUGCCCCAAAAGCAUUUGAUAAUUGUGACUCCCACAUAUGUUCGGCCAUUUCAAGCAUAUUAUUUGAAUCAACUGGCUCAGACAUUAAGGAAUGUACCACCCCCUCUACUAUGGAUAGUUGUCGAGAAGUCCAUGCAGUCCGCUGAAACGGCAAAGAUCUUGAGGAGAACUGGGGUCAUGUACAGACAUCUUGUGUGCGAACAAAAUGCCACCAAAAUAAAAAAUAAUGGUGUUCGCCAGAGAAAUGUUGCACUGGCUCACAUUGAGAAGCACCAUCUUGAUGGCAUAGUAUACUUUGCAGAUGAUGAUAGAAUCUAUUCAAUUCGCCUCUUUGACCAAAUGCGUCAAAUCAGGCGCUUUGGAACAUGGCCUGUUGCAAUGCUUGGGGGAGGUAAAAACAAAGUGCUAUUAGAAGGUCCUGUUUGCAAUGGCAGUGAAGUAAUUGGAUGGCACACAGAUCAGAGAAGCAGGAUAUCUCGAAGAUUUCAUGUUGACAUGGCUGGCUUUGCAUUUAAUAGUACCAUACUCUGGGAUCCUAAGAGAUGGAACCGCCCAACUGUUGAGCCUAUUAGGCUACGUGCUACAGUAAGAGGUUUUCAGGAGACCACAUUCAUUGAGCAGCUGGUUGAGGAUGAAAGCCAAAUGGAAGGUUUAGCAAACAACUGCUCCGAGAUUAUGGUUUGGCAUCUCCAUUUAGAAGCUCCUGAACUUAUCUAUCCAAAGGGCUGGUUGAUGCAGAAGAACUUAGAAGUUGUUGCACCUUUAACAUGAAAGCUGGCCAUGUGAAGUCGUUCCAUUGUAUGUAUUCCCUGACAGGACUUUCUGCUGGAUGAGCUGAUUGAAAAUGGUGUCUUAUCCUGCUUGUAUCACCUCGAACUACCUGGACUGCUGCCCGGAAUGUCUGCUCGGAUUUAUCUUCUAUGAUGAGCAGAGGCGCAGGCUUCUUGAUGCAAAUGUUGUUUGUUGUAUUCUUUAUUUCAGGCUUUUUUUCCUGGUUUCUUUAUCCAGACGAGACAGACCUUGUACAGUUGUUUUUCCUUUUUUUUUUUUUUACAAAUGUAGAAAAAUUGCAUCCAUUGGUACUGUUGGGAAAGAAAACAAGCACCUUUGGAACAUGCAAAAAUUUCUAUUUAACUGCCAUUAUUCAGAAGUAAAUUGACCAUCAAUUUUGUGUCAUUUCUGUUAA